AUAGAUACACCUCAUGUUUCCCUCAGCGAGUCAUCCUUGAUAUAUUUACCCUAACCGGUAAUAGAUGUCCUCUCUGUCAGACUAUGUUAUCUCCUUACCCAGUAACCGGUAAUGGAUAAUAUACUUCUGUUACUCCUGUGUUGAAGUUCAUUUCUUCCCCAGUUGAGUCUAAGUGUGUAUUUCCUCAGUGAAAUCACCAUCCCCUAUUUGGAUCGAGUAUUUCAGUUUUAUCCUGAUUUACCCGUUUCCCCUGCAUAUUUUUCCUUUAUCCCCGGUUGAGUCCU
rnacentral:lncRNA from 1 species